rnacentral:rRNA from 1 species
ACUCCUACGGGAGGCAGCAGUGGGGAAUAUUGCACAAUGGGGGAAACCCUGAUGCAGCCAUGCCGCGUGUGUGAAGAAGGCCUUCGGGUUGUAAAGCACUUUCAGUUGUGAGGAAGGUGGUGUCGUUAAUAGCGGCAUCAUUUGACGUUAGCAACAGAAGAAGCACCGGCUAACUCCGUGCCAGCAGCCGCGGUAAUACGGAGGGUGCGAGCGUUAAAUCGGAAUUACUGGGCGUAAAGCGCAUGCAGGUGGUUUGUUAAGUCAGAUGUGAAAGCCCGGGGCUCAACCUCGGAACUGCAUUUGAAAACUGGCAGACUAGAGUACUGUAGAGGGGGGUA